CUCCUUAGGGGAAAAGAGCAGUAAAGAAUGUCCUCUGAGUCCCUGGAGGAAGUCAGGGAGCAUGGGCUCCAGGAAAACAGCAUCAGAACCCCCGGCCAUGUUUUUUCUACAGUAAUCUGUUUUCAACAGUAGCUGAAGACCAUGCAGGAGCAAGGAAUCUGAGAAGAAAUACAACAAAUUAUUUUGCAGGAAAUGAUGGCACUAGACAUUUUAGUUAUAGGGGUUCUCAGCAUAACAGUAAGCUCCUUCUCUGCCUAUUUACCUUAAGCAAACUUCAAUAAACAAAUUCUGCCUGAAUAUUCAAAGCUCCAUGAAAUCUACCUAAUCUCUCAUCCUUAAAUAUAAAUGAACCAC